CGCACUAUCUACUUUAUUCGGGCGAAGCCAGCUGUUGCCGAACUGCGCGCUAUCAAUUUAUAGAUUUUGCGCAUACCUCGUCUUCCGGUCUGAAUGGCGGCGGGAUCUAUCUUCGUCGGGCCGCUUUGUUCGCUGUUCUCAAUCGGAGUUUCUUCUGCCGCUUCGUCGUUUUCCAACUCGCGAAAAUCCUUUGUGACGCACCUCGUGCAGGCGGGCAAUGCGCGGGCGGGGCGCGAAACGGCGAUUCCUCCUUCGGAACGGAGCGAACCUUUUGUGUGGCGCGAUUAGCCACGCGCGUAUCGGCUCUUCCGCGCCCAUUGUGUCGUGCAACGCGCUCGGUUCGCGUCGCUUCGGCGACCGUCUCGUCGACGCGAGGCCCUUGUUAUAAAACGUUUCAUUGCACCGCGUCGCGCUACCCUCUGUCCGACGAGAGGGGCCAGCGUCAACGCACGCGAUUGCAUGAUGUUGAAGGUGAUAGUGUAUAGCACAUUUCAUGGGCACCGAAUAAAAGGAAACGUUCUGUUCCCGUGUGCAGACAAAAAUCAUUUAAUGCACGCGGCUGGCUGACAGUUGAGUCUUUCUCUUGCUAAAGAAAAAAGAACUGCCAGACACGAGUGAUUGCAGACACCAGUGGUGACGAAACUUCUCGCGGCUUCCCUUUCUGGGUCCUUGCAGGCUCGUCGCCGGCGCGUCGUUUUCGGCCUCGUGCGGUCGACGCUUUCCGUCCUUUUUCUCUGGCGGUGUGUGUGCACCCACCGCGCUCACUACCGUUGCGUGCAGCCUGAGCAAUCUGGGCAGUCAGGUGCGUUCAGCCCAUUCCCUAAUUUUAUGAGAUCGGAUUUUGAAGCCCUAGAAGUGGUGGUAUUAGGCACCUAAAACAGACACCUGGGGCGCGAUCUUGUACGCGUUCCAAAAUAGAACGGAGGUGGUCCGUUUAGUACGUCACUAAAUAGGCGGUCCGCAAUGUUCGCGAGAACGAGAGGAAGCAAACAGCCGAUGAGCGAAGUGGAAGCAUACGUCACGCUUUUGAUGUCUGCUUGGGGACCGUAUAAUAUAUCGAGGAGCGUUUCCAACAUGUUGAGAAAUAUUUUGCUAUUAUGACGGAGUAGCAAAAUGUGUUGGUGUUGCUUUUCAAAGAUUCAAUUUGGAAUGCGAAACAACUGAAACAAAAUAUUGCGGUUAAUGUCUUCAAAUGGUGCUAGGUGGUGUCGCAGUUUUGCGAAACGUUUAGUGAUGGCGCUAGCCACCACCCCGUUUCAAGCACACGGCGCGAAUUUUGAAGCGGUUGGUUCAGUCGUUCAGUCGAGCACUGGAAGCCAUGGCGCUAAACGUGGCAGCACCGGUGAAGGGGCCACGUGUGUCGGAGGCGCAGAGAGAGACGGUGGUCGCCUUCAUGGAGCAGCAUCCCCAGCUGGCUAUAAGAUCCAGCGAGCUGAGGCCGCGCUUCACUGUUGGCGACCGCCGACGGCUGUGGCAGCAGCUGGCCGACGCGCUGAACAGCGAAGGCCCUGUAGUCAAAACCACUGAGCAGUGGCAGGAGUGGUGGCGCAAGCAAGUUUUUGAGGCCCGCCGCGACGCUGCCGCAAUUGCCCAAGAACAAAGGUGAGUGACCGUCCAAUGGUCUGGGCGAUUUGUCCUUCGACAUUGGCGUGUAUUUUCAGAAGCACAGGAGGGGGGCGGCUACACGGUUUUCGUGGCCGAGUCCUCCAGCUGACCGGAACGGUCCGCCUCCACGGCGUGACCGACCUCCCCUACCAAGAGCAGGCUGACGUCCCCACCUCCGCCAUGGAAGUUGUCGUCCAAGCUACAGACGAGGCUGCGGUCCUGAGGAGCACAGCGACACCGGCAGAGGAUCCACCGCGCGGUGCGUCACCUACCGAAAGGGUGACCGCUGCACCUGUGUUGCAGCACCCUGUUCAGCCACCACGUCGACAGCGACCACGACGGGUGGAUACCUUGACGACGAUGUCGUCGCAGUGCGCCCG